GUGCUCACUUCAGCAGAACAUAAACUAAAAUUAGAACAAUACAGAGAUUUUAUGCGCAAGGAUGAAAGGCAAAUUCAUGAUGCAAUCCAAAUUUUU
ensembl:snRNA U6 U6 spliceosomal RNA